ACAUUGAAACAUUGGUUCUCACUCGAUCAUCAAAGUUAAGCAAUGUUGAGCCUGGUCAUUAACUAGAUGGGUGACUGCUUGGGAAUACCAGGUGCUGUAA